UAAGAAAACAAAAGUCGGGGUGUAUGCAUAUAUUUGAGUGUAUGUAUAAUGAUGAUCCUGUGUGGAUUAGAGAAGAUCCCAAAUAAAUUCAAACUUGUUCACCCAAUUCUUGUUUUUUAAAAUCAUUAAUGAUGUAUGCUGUACAAUC